rnacentral:rRNA from 1 species
GUCUCCGGCCAUGCCAACCAUCUGAUCCCAUCCGAUCUCGGAAGCUAAGCAGGGUCGGGCCUGGUUAGUACUUGGAUAGGAGACCACCUAGGAAGACCACGUGCUGUAGGCA